GCAUUAUCCAGAAUGGUGAAGAAAAUUGCCAGAAAUUAAUAGAAGCCCAUAAAGAAUGCAUGAGGAAAAUGGGAUUUAACAUUUAAUAUAUUAUAAAGUUAUUAAGAGCCUAUAUGUAACCCUUAGAAAACUAUGAGCUGCCUUCAAAGCUGUUCCUAUGUAAAUAUUCAGCGAAUUAUUAGAAUUUAUAUAAAAGCCAAUGUCUCCGAACUUACUUUAUUAUCUCGGGGAUUGCAAUUGAGAGAGAAGUGCCGUCGAGCGUGUCCAGAUUUGUUUUAAAGCCGGUCAGUGCAUCCAUUAACGGUACCUUCGUGUCGACACACAAAUCAUUUCCCUCUCGAAUGUAUAAUUUGUGUGGUCUUUAAAGAAAAUAAAUGAGAAAUUAGAGUUAAAUUAUAAUAAAUGUUUACAUAAGUA